AGAAUGACGGAACACCGGUAGAUACCACAGAAACGGAUUCUUCAGAGACAAAAAAACAUACAACCAUUAUCGGUGGUUGUGCUGAAGAGGUGCCAUUUGUAGAGCGAGGAUUACAAAAUACCAAUGCUAACACGAGCAUCGAAGGCGAUCAAAUUGUUACACAAGCAAUCGGUCAAUGCAUUAGCGCUGACGAUGAAAACAAUUUGCCUGGUUCAUGUACAUCUGUGAAGAUCGAACAAAACUUCAAUGGCAAGACUGCGGACACGGAAACACGGAAUAUUGCUGAUAAAUGUUCAUUCGGUACGGAAAAGUUUUGUGCUCGAGCGGGAAAUAACAGUGAAGUCGAGAUUGCACGGAAUACUGAUAUGAGUAAUGAUACG